rnacentral:rRNA from 1 species
AGUAAUAUAUCGGAACGUACCCUGGAGUGGGGGAUAACGUAGCGAAAGUUACGCUAAUACCGCAUACGAUCUAAGGAUGAAAGCAGGGACCGCAAGGCCUUGUGCUCCUGGAGCGGCCGAUAUCUGAUUAGCUAGUUGGUAGGGUAAAGGCCUACCAAGGCAUCGAUCAGUAGCUGGUCUGAGAGGACGACCAGCCACACUGGAACUGAGACACGGUCCAG